GGAACUUUGGCGUAGCUGGUGCGCGCGUUGGACUGAAAAUCCAAAGGACUGUAGUUCGAUUCUCAGAGGUUCCA
rnacentral:tRNA from 1 species